CUAGAUAUCUAGCCUUCGUGGUGUUCUCCGUUCUCUGAUCAUGUCUGUGAAUGUGUGUGUUGUUCGUGUAGUUUUAAUUUAAUUUCAAACCGUGUGGCAGCGCGCAAGUAGAUUUUUAGUUUAAAAAUAACUUUCGUAAGCUACAAGCUCGUAUUUAUUAUACAGGAUAUCAGCGAUAUUAAAAUAUGAAUAAAUAUAUGACAUACUUCUAAUCCAUUGAUGAGCCAUGUCAAAUGAGGAACUGGAUUCGCAGGAGCUGAGGUACAAUUUGCCUCGAGGACUUCUCCUACUGUGUAAACAGCCUUCUUGAAAGUUAUGUGCGGAUUAUCCGACUGAGGUACUGGAAGACACAAAGACAAAUGAUAUAAUUUAUAUCAUUGUCUGUCUCUCGACAUUUCAACAGCCCUCUAAGUACUCGAGUAAAACUAUUUUUAACAGUAUCAUUAUCUAAAGAGCACUCAAUAAAAUAAUAAUUUACCGCAAGUCUUUUUUAUCUCGCAUUACAGCAGAUAUUUAUUUUUCUCAAAAUUAAUAGAAAAAAUUAUAUUUAAAGCUUUUUAGUAAAAUUUAGGGGGUACCUCCUAUCCUAUAUAAAUUAAGUCAUAAAGGCUCCAAUCUUUACCGAUAAUAAAACUAAUUUUAAAUAACGUUACUUGGCGGUUAGUAGUGUCAGCAGUAGAUAAUGGGCGGAGGUAAUAAAAAAAUAUGAAUGAAUUAUUUAUAAUUACCUAUAACUUGUAGCUUUACUUCGUCCGAGCUUUCAGUAUAAAUUGGAUAAGUAGAGCUUACCAAGCAGGAAUAUGAGCCAGAGGCAUCAAAGUGUACAUCCUUUAAUUUGAUUGUCUUGCCAUCGAGCGUAUGCUUUAAAAAUUAAGUUUUAGUAAAUAAUUACCAAUUAAACCGGUGAAAAAUAAAUGAUUAAUUUUUUUCGGCAAUAAAUAAUUAAGUAAAAAUUACCUCAAAUUCUAAACCGGGAGGCGGCGAUUCUCUAAAUGGAUGAUCUUUACGAUCUCUUAUAUAUUCCAAUAUUUUUUUAUUAUCUUUUAAAAAUUCAACCUUAUGAAGGUCAUCUGGUGUGACAGUAUGAUUACAUGUCAAUGUCGCUGUACUGUUGUACUUGACGUAAUUCGGGGCAAUAAGCCGUACUUCUGGUGUUGCAUCUAUUAAUAUAUAUGUUGAUAAAACACAUCAUAAUCAAAUUUUUAAUUUAAUUAAAUUAACGGAAAAUCUUUUAAAAUAUUAAAAAUUAUACACGGAUUUGACAUUUUAAUUAUUAAUUCUCUUUGUAUUAUUAUUAUUAUUAUUAUUAUUAUGAUAUUUAUGUUUCGUACUUAUGAUUCAAUUUAUUUAAGUAUGUUUAAUAUUUGAAAUAAAAGUUUGUAUUAUUUUAUUGUGUAUAAGGUAUAAACUACUGCUGCAUAAAAAGUACAAAGAAAAAAUAAAAGUUUAAAAAAUGAAAAGAGAAAACAAAUGGAGAAUAAAUGUUGACUAAAUAAAAAUAUAAACUCAGAAGCGUAUAAGCAAAGGGGUAGUUAUAGUUACUGUAGCUUUAGGUGAGUAAAAAAAAACUAGAGUAUAAAUUAAAAAUGAAAAAUUGUGUUUGUUUAACGGCAUGAGAUUGAGAUAUUUUUAAAAUUACUUAAUAUAAACGAUAAUUAUAAAAAGCCUUGUUGCUGGGAGCCAGUUUGAUAUCGAUUAGAAAAUGCGUAUCACGUUAUUAUACUCAUAAUUAUUAAAACAUAAUUACUUAAAGCUUGUAUCAAUCUUUAUAUUUAUUCCUACGUGUGAUAGUUUUAUUUAAAAAAACGAACGAACGAACGAACGAA